AAAUUGAAGAGUUUGAUCAUGGCUCAGAUUGAACGCUGGCGGCAGGCCUAACACAUGCAAGUCGAACGGUAACAGGAAGCAGCUUGCUGCUUCGCUGACGAGUGGCGGACGGGUGAGUA
rnacentral:rRNA from 1 species